rnacentral:rRNA from 1 species
GUGCCGAGCCGCAGCUUACACAUGCAAGUCGAGCGGUAACAGGGGAAGCUUGCUUCCCGCUGACGAGCGGCGGACGGGUGAGUAAUGCUUAGGAAUCUGCCCAGUAGUGGGGGAUAGCCCGGGGAAACCCGGAUUAAUACCGCAUACGUCCUACGGGAGAAAGCAGGGGAUCUUCGGACCUUGCGCUAUUGGAUGAGCCUAAGUCGGAUUAGCUAGUUGGUGGGGUAAAGGCCUACCAAGGCGACGAUCCGUAGCUGGUCUGAGAGGAUGAUCAGCCACAUCGGGACUGAGACACGGCCCGAACUCCUACGGGAGGCAGCAGUGGGGAAUAUUGGACAAUGGGGGCAACCCUGAUCCAGCCAUGCCGCGUGUGUGAAGAAGGCUUUCGGGUUGUAAAGCACUUUCAGUAGGGAGGAAAACCUUAUGGCUAAUACCCAUGAGGCUUGACGUUACCUACAGAAGAAGCACCGGCUAACUCCGUGCCAGCAGCCGCGGUAAUACGGAGGGUGCAAGCGUUAAUCGGAAUUACUGGGCGUAAAGCGCGCGUAGGUGGUUUGGUAAGCGAGAUGUGAAAGCCCCGGGCUUAACCUGGGAACGGCAUUUCGGACUGUCAGACUAGAGUGUGGUAGAGGGUAGUGGAAAUUUCCUGUGUAGCGCUGGAGAUGCGUAGAUAUAGGAGGGAGCACCAUUUGGCGAGGGCGGCUACCUCGGAGCAACACUGACCGCUGAGGGUGCCGAAAAGCGUGGGGGGCAGACAGGAGU